rnacentral:tRNA from 1 species
GGGUUGCUAACUCAACGGUAGAGUACUCGGCUUUUAACGGGUUCGAGUCCCGGGCAACCCA